GAUGAAGAACGUAGCGAAAUGCGAUACUUGGUGUGAAUUGCAGAAUCCCGUGAACCAUCGAGUCUUUGAACGCAAGUUGCGCCCGAAGCCAUCAGGUUGAGGGCACGUCUGCCUGGGCGUCACAUAUCGUUGCCCAAUGCCUAUUGCAGUGCAAUAGGAAUUUCUAGGGCGAAUGAUGGCUUCCCGUGAGCGUUGUUGCCUCGCGGUUGGUUGAAAAUCGAGUCCUUGGUAGGGUGUGCCAUGGUAGAUGGUGGUCGAGUUAGAACGAUACCGAUCAUGUGCAUGCUCCCCAAAAUAUGGCCUCUAUGACCCACACGCGUCUUUUGACGCUCAUGACGAGACCUCAGGUCAGGCGGGGCUACCCGCUGAAUUUAAGCAUAUCACGGAGGA
rnacentral:misc_RNA from 1 species